UUCUUGGAUAAGGAAGAUGUCAGAUCAGCAGAUUGUUUGGUGGGAUCAGGAUCUUCUAUUUUAGAGAAUACUUUUAAGUGGGUAAAUUCCAAAGAGAAAUAGAGGUAUGCUCACAGAAUAGCUUAUUUGACGAGUCAUUUGGAAUUGAUGAAACAAAAGCAGAUAUAGUUGAAGUGACUAACAUUGCCGAACCUGAACCCAGCAGCUAGGCCCGUAUCGAGCCAAACCAAAAGCAAAUCGGGGCAAUUUGGCCAUUCCGGUCGGUUCGGUUUAUAAAAAAUCGAAUUGAUAGGUUGUUCUCUUGCUCCCGCGACUGCCCUAGCUCUCUCUCUCUGUCUCCCCUCUUUGAUGCUGACUGACGUUAUUUGGGGCAUCCGACUGCCACCGUCGAUGAGGUAAGCCCUCUCCCUCCCCCCCGGCUCCUCCUUCCCUGUCCCUCUCCGUAAACCCUCCCUCUCCUUCUCCCCUCCCCUCUCUCCGUAAACCCUUCCUCUCCUUCUCCCCUUCCCUCUCUCUCUCUGUAAACCCUCCCUCUCCCUCCCUGCCUCCCUCUCUCUCUUUCUCCCUCUCCUCCCUCUCCAUAAACCCUCCUCUCUCCCCCUCUCUCUCCUCUCCCUCCCUCCUUACUUCCUCCCUCUCCGUAAGCCCCUCCUUCCUCCCUCUCUUUCUACCUCUCCCCCCUCUCCCUGGUUCGGUACAUCUCGGAUUGGUAUGGCAUAUACCAGUACUGUACCGAAUCAGUCGUCAGCCAGUAUGACCCCCAAUACUGAUCGGGUGAGCCUUAGAAGUGACUAUGGGAAGAAGUUCUUGCAGUUUUAUAUAAUACCCUUAAGCUGAAGAGGAUAUCAUAAAUCAUUUAAGUUGAAGGCAUGUUUCAUUUAUAUAUGAAGCUAGACUCACGAAGGAACAAACAAAAAGUCAUUAUACAGAGAAUACAUAUUAUCUUUUAGCACAGCAUAUAUGAUGUUUUAAGAGGAAAAUAUAUUUUAUGAGGGAAGAAAAAAGCCUCCAGCACAUUUGCUAUAAAAGGAAAACAAAAUAUAAUAUAGGUAAAAUAUAAGUUAAAAUUGUCUAAUAAUAGUGUAAUCAGAUGACUUGAGCACUGCACAAGUUGCAUGAUUCAGCUUAUGUAGAUGGACUACAAAGAACAAGGAAGAUAAAAUAGAAGUUUCUGGAGUCUGAUUGUAGCUACAAGAGUACAAGUUUCUUGCAUUCAAUACUCUUUUAAUUCCUCGGAUCUAUGUUCAGAGCUAGAUUAGCAGAAUAGCAGCAUGAUGAAUCUACUGGGAUAGGGAAUGGUUGCCAGACCUGGGUACCAAAGGCUUUUAAAAGAUUUCCGCGCUCUUUUUCUAUUUGAGAACGAGCCCUUGAAUAACUUAUAGCAGCUUUUGAAAGCGUAUUGCCGCUGGUGCAGGUGUUUUCAACACCAUAUUUUCUACUAUCUUCAGACAACUUAUUACCUGCAAAAUAUGAUUUUCGGUAGAACGAUCACCAAACUUAAAAUAGUAUGGGGUAAAAGGAUUGCCUGCGAAAUAUAACUUUCAAUAAAAAGAUGGCAAUGUAUAAAAGGGGAACAAAACCCACAAAUUCACAAGGAUACCUAUUUCAACUUGUUUAGAUCCCGUGACAAUGUAACCUUCCACACCGCGAACAAUGUCCCUUUGAAAAUGCUGAAAAGAUAUCAUUGAAGUAUUUUCAGAAAAUUUACAUAAAAAAAAAGAAGGAAAAAAUUUCACGGAAAAGAACUGUAAUAAAACAAAUCAACAGAAAGCAAAAGGAUGCAAACCUUGGCCGCACGGGUUGAUAUGUAAAGCUUCUCUAACUUUUGAUGUUGCUGAAGUUCUGCCUCAUCUGUAAUUACACUAUCAGAACUUCCAUGUCCGCUAGCACCAAAUUGCUUGAGAACUGCCUGUAAUCAUAGCAGUCAAAGAGACCUUGAUGUUACUUGGAAUCAUAACUAUGAACCAUGAGAGAUUCUCUCUGACAAUUCAGAAACAUCAAGUGAAUAGCCAGGGCAUUUGUGGUUAAGAUAGAAAAGGGGAUGCAUAUCUUUGGCUUGGUUUUCUAUUUACAUAAAUAGGUCUCCAAACGGUUCCCCAUCUGACAAACUUGUGGCAAUUGGAGGAGAUCAUUCUGUUGGAAGUCUCUACGGCUGUAUGUCUUUACACUUCAUGAGAAAAUUUAUCAAAAAUAAGAUGGUUAAAUGGCAGAUGAUUUCAUCUUGGUUCCCUAAUGUGCAAAAAAUUGAUUGGAGAGGAAAUCGGUAAGCUGGAAAUAAGAGACGAAAAACGUGUUUUAUUGUAAUAUGAAAGUCUCUGUAGGAUGAAGUCAAGGUCUUCAUCGUGAUGAGCUCAUGGGGAGAAAAAGGUUGUAGGUGUCUUAUUCUCAAAAGCUAUGGGACUCAUACACAUAACCUUGAUUUUAUUAAGAAUGAUAUCUUAGUAUUUAUGAGUCCAUGUUUGUAAUGAACAGGUUAAGAAACUUCCCAUCAGGGUGCAGGAUUGCUUGUCAAGAGGUGCCAAGAGAUGGAGCACUCAACACCUGAUGGCAUUCACCUCUUUCCCCAGCACGGACAUUGAUAUCUUAUCAGUAUGCAAGUUUUAACAAUGUUUUACAUUAAAAUAAAUACACAAGGCAGACUGAUCUCCAAAAAUUUUGUUAAAUCUAACAAAGUUGUAUCAAUAAGAAGAAUUUUGUUAUUUCUUUUUUGUAUUUUCAGAACCAUUAGGUACAUUGAUCAUUGCUCAGCUCUGUUAACCAUUUGAGAAGCAUGCUCAAUAAAAUAAUCAUAAGUGAUCAGAAUGCUUCCUAUCAAAGCAGAUUAUCCUUGAUAGUUUUUCAGUUAUUCCUCGUUCAUGAAUACUACAAACUACAGAUAUCAGAAAAGGACCUACAAUUGCUUAACAAAGAGAUUUUUGGGGUUAUAUAAUUGAAGCUUCAAAGAAUGUUGGUCAUGGCACUGUUUAUACCACAGACUAUGACUAACCUGAAGUCAUCCCUUUGUUCUUGUAAAUUGCUAACCAAGUAAUUGGUGAAUGAUAUGUAUUAGGUUUCACGAAGAUUAGUAUUGUAGAGUUUUGGAUGUAAGAUCAAAGAGAUUCCUACGAUUUAUUCAGGAUACAGAUGUAAGGUGGAAAAAAGCAUAGAAAGCAUAGCAAAGAGCUCCACUGCUGUCAGUCUUGACAAAAAGCUCUCCUCAUUAGAAAAGUGAAUUUCUCCCAUUUGUUGGCAACCAAUUCUUCAAAGGCUCUCCUUCCGUUCUUCCCAGUUACACCAUAGUCAUGUUGAUACCUGUAUUCCAGGAGGAGUGUCUAAAAUUUGAAUUUGUGAGGCAAAGUUCUUUUAAGGGAAUAGAAAGUCAGGUGCUGAAGCUUUUCCUCUUGACAAAUAGAAACUUGUCUGCAUUCAAAGGGCCCUAAAAUGGCUAGCAUCAAGUUUUAUGGGUGAUAUGAAAGCUGCAAUGCUCAAGAAAUUGGUUUGGCCCCUAGGUAAAAAUACACACCACUUUGGGAAACAAUUAUUCAUACCAAGUACUACGACAACAGCAAAGAAGAGAACAUAACCGCAUGACAAAAUGGCAUGAAACAUACACUCUUGCUGUUUGUAAAGAAUUAAAUUUGAAGUGGGGCUGUUGCUAACUGGCUGGCAUUUAUGUGGGAUCUUGGAUUUGACAUUCUCUAUUGGAAGCUUUGGUGAAAAGCAAAAUUUUUGGCUUAUGUUGUGUUUUCCUAUUUCAAUUUGAGUUCUCUUACAAGUCUAGUGGCAGUUUUGAUGUUUCAUUCUUAUUUCUUGUAAAGCAAGUUUUUUUUCCUGGGAUUGAUUUGUAGGGCUAUCACUAGCAUAGAUUUGCGCUCCGACUUUGAGUUGAUUAGCAUUAAUGCCUUGUUUUAUUUAUAGUUUAGGUCAAGUAAACUCUAUAGCCAUUAGGAUUAAGACUGUCAAAGCUCUAGAUGUCCAUCCACAGGGGGUUCCACAUGUACCUAACUUUUACAAAUAUUUUACUUUUUUUAUUUCUUUCUUUAAGCAGUUCUUCUAAUAAAGCUGUUAUUAACCUUUGUUAUAUAGUGGCAACUUUACUUCAAUUUUACAUUGUGAACUUUUAAAGGCACAAGGAACAAAUGAAAAGCUGUACAAUGACACCCCUAGACAUUUUGAAUUUGAUGCAGCAAGGAUAGCAAUCACUUCUGAUUCAAAGCCAUAACUCUUAUAGUUCUAUGUGAGAUGUAAAUUUGUUUUGGUGGUGCACAUUGACAAAUUAAUCCUAUCUUGUGUCCUAUCUUUUCAAUUUUUUUGAAAUUUUUCUUCACUUCUUAAUCAUUAGCAAACCAAUCUUACCAUCAUUCUUUUGCUCUCCUAAAUGUCAUCCAUGUGUUCGCCUGUCCCUCGUUUCUAUCAGAAUAAGUAUUGUACAAGGAUUCCAUAUCAUGUGACAUUCUCUUGAGAAAGGUCAUGCAUAUUCUGCUAGCAGAGCUUGGUUGAAAGAUCAAAAGGUGAUACAUGCUAGCAAGGUGAAUAUAAACUUUCAUGCUCCAAGGCUGAAAAGAUCAUGCUGAGACCAACAUAAAUAAAGAGCUUUCAUGGAAAAAAGGAAAAAACUAAAUACAAACAUAAACUUUCUUGGUUCUUUUAUGAACACAAUGGAGACUAAGAGCCAAAAAGAGGAUGUCAUGCAUGUUGUAGUUUGCAGAGAAGAACGAUGAAAUGUUGCGAUGAAAGAAAGCAAGCAAGAAUAAAAGUUAGGCUGUCCAAAAGAAGAUGUCAUGAAAGAAGCAGUACCGAUGAAGAAGACAUUUCUUGGUAAAAGGGAAUUUAAAAUGUCAGAGUGGUUAUUAAAAAUGAAGCUAUCGACAUCAAAUAUACUAUGGUAAUGCAAGAUAAAGGAAGAGGAAACCAAUAUGUGUUUCAUCUUAUGAUAAAGUUGUCCUUAAAGAAGUUUAUGAUAUGGAAGAUGAGAUUCUUCAGGAUACAAAUAAAAUUGAAGGAAUCAAUAAGCUAAAAUGCCAUCAUUUCAAGUUGAACCGCUGUAGCGAUUAUGGCAUCAAAUUUUGAAAAUUCAAGACACCUACCCAUCACAGGAGUGAUGUUACCUUGAUUGCUGUUUCGGUAAAUUCAUAAAUUAAGUCCAAAGAGUGAAAACUGACAUGCAUGCAUACAUCAUCAAUUCCAUAAGGCAAGGUUUAUUGUCUUGCCUGGCAAUGUUCAUGCUGUCAAAUCCAUGACUGACACAAAUUGGUACGAAAUUGUGAGAUGGGAAGAUUGCAUCACGAAGAACCUAAAACCAGGAUAAGUUCUUGUCAGGUAAAAAAAGCAAAUGGUGCUAGAGGUUCUCUUAGGUCAAAUACGAGAGGGAACUGAAAUGGAGGAACAAAGGGUCGAGCAGCGUACUCAAGUAUGAGUACAGGGAAAGCAAAGCAAAUGUUUCUCCAGUCAGUGAGAAUACCAGAUGAAAUGAGUACCAAAGGGUUGCGAUCUCUAUCGCAACAAUACCAAUUGUGAGAUGCCACCAAAGACACAUUGUCCUCAGGCCUGAAUGAACACAGACAGUAGAAAUUGGCUCCCCCAAACCAACAAAUUGAGCGUAUUACUCAGCAAGCAUUGCAAUCAUAGUAACAAUUGGACAUCAAGAAUUUGUGAAAGAAAUAAAUCCAUCAAGCUCACAUCCCUGUCCUGAUACAUCAAAACAUCCAGAUCGCAGUCAUGCUUUAACUAAACAUCAAAAAGCUGUGCAAGAACUGCCCUUGCUGCAUCAAAUCCGCUUCGAAACAACCAAAUCGGAUGAAAUCAGACUGAAAUCGAAGCCAAAAAUAUACGCAACCUCUGAAGACAUAGAUGCAUCAAGUAAGGUGAGGAGAGGGGGGAGGGGAGGGGGAGAUGGGACAGAAAACGAGGGGGCACCUGCUGCUGCCUCGCGACCUGCUCCCUGAGCCGCGUGGCCUGCUUCCUUAUCGCCUCCAUUCCCGGCCGGCGAACGCCAACCAAGAACCCGGCGGGCGGGCGAGCGAUUGGUCGGAGCUGCCGAAAGAGAGAAAGAAAACGGGUCGGUGAGGAGAUCUGAAAGGUUACAUACAAACAGGGGCAAGGGUCUCCAUGUUGUUGCCGUUGGGUUUGGAGCUAGCGAAGAAAUGUGAAUCCGCGUCGGGUAAUUUAUUAGGGUGCAUUCUAUUUUAGGGUUAAAUCGAAACUUUUGUGCAGGCUGGCGGAGAAAACACCGCUUCACGGGCCCCAUCCUAAACAAGAAGUCCAAAAGAGAGAGGCCCAGUCCAUGUUAAUAUACUAUGAGCCUAUGACUAUAGAUUACGCCCGUCCCUGACUGAGCUAAAGGUUAAUGAUGGAGGAGAGGGAGGGAUCCAAACACCCACUCCUGAGCAAUAUAUGGUGGCUGAUGAGGAAGUGUGAUGCCUUUUAGGCCGUGUAUGUUUAUCGCGAGGCGAACAUGGCUACUGACUACGUCGCCUCCUAUGCUGCUCAUUAUUCCGGCGAGUUCAUUUGGACUCAGAGUUCCAUUGUCCCUCCUCCUUUGAGUUAUCUUCUUUCUUUUGACACGGUACUUAUGCACGUUUAGUAUGAGCAGCCGAUGUACCAAAAAAAAAAAUGAUGCUAUUGUAUGUUGCAUCUAUUCUGGCUAACAUGAAAUAUGUUCCAAUGGCUGAAGCGUUUACGUUUCAGAACGAUAAAAUUAUUUUAGAGGGAGACUCCAAGAUGAUAGUCACUUGGAUUAAUGGCAAGGAGUCUUCACAACAUCCCGCACUGAGGACCAUCAAGCUUUUUAGCUCUACCAUAUCCGAAUUUUCAUGUAUUCAUGCUCAUUGGAAGCUAAUUAUGUGGCAGAUUGGCUGGCCAAUUUCGCAAGCAUCGAACGAGGCGAAAGGAUCUGGAUAGAAGGAUUUCCAUCUAUUUUGGCUUUCUCCAUCAAUGCAGAUGCAAGGAACAUCCCUUUCAUUUGCCUAUAGUGAGUCUCCUCGAAUCUCUGUUAUCGAAUCUCUAUAACAACUGCUUAAUUUUUGCGAGAGAUGCCUCUAACAUUGUUCGAUAUGUAAGCAGAACUAUUAGCUACAUCAGGGGCGGCCUAAUACAUCUNNNNNNNNNNNNNNNNNNNNNNNNNNNNNNNNNNNNNNNNNNNNNNNNNNNNNNNNNNNNNNNNNNNNNNNNNNNNNNNNNNNNNNNNNNNNNNNNNNNNNNNNNNNNNNNNNNNNNNNNNNNNNNNNNNNNNNNNNNNNNNNNNNNNNNNNNNNNNNNNNNNNNNNNNNNNNNNNNNNNNNNNNNNNNNNNNNNNNNNNNNNNNNNNNNNNNNNNNNNNNNNNNNNNNNNNNNNNNNNNNNNNNNNNNNNNNNNNNNNNNNNNNNNNNNNNNNNNNNNNNNNNNNNNNNNNNNNNNNNNNNNNNNNNNNNNNNNNNNNNNNNNNNNNNNNNNNNNNNNNNNNNNNNNNNNNNNNNNNNNNNNNNNNNNNNNNNNNNNNNNNNNNNNNNNNNNNNNNNNNNNNNNNNNNNNNNNNNNNNNNNNNNNNNNNNNNNNNNNNNNNNNNNNNNNNNNNNNNNNNNNNNNNNNNNNNNNNNNNNNNNNNNNNNNNNNNNNNNNNNNNNNNNNNNNNNNNNNNNNNNNNNNNNNNNNNNNNNNNNNNNNNNNNNNNNNNNNNNNNNNNNNNNNNNNNNNNNNNNNNNNNNNNNNNNNNNNNNNNNNNNNNNNNNNNNNNNNNNNNNNNNNNNNNNNNNNNNNNNNNNNNNNNNNNNNNNNNNNNNNNNNNNNNNNNNNNNNNNNNNNNNNNNNNNNNNNNNNNNNNNNNNNNNNNNNNNNNNNNNNNNNNNNNNNNNNNNNNNNNNNNNNNNNNNNNNNNNNNNNNNNNNNNNNNNNNNNNNNNNNNNNUCUCUCUCUCCACCCAAAACAAAACUACUGUCCCCAACUUCCCCAAUUGCCCCUCUGCAGGCCACGAAACCCUCCACCUCCCUUCCAUCAAGGGGGAAGACUCGUAGCCAGCUUCUGCUCCCGGAGGCCUUCCAUUGGCCCGAGGCCUUAGGCGACCGCCUCGGUCGCCUAGGGCUCGGGCCAGCCCUGGCGUUGACAUUACCCACAUAAGAAAACUCAAGCCUGUUCAAGAUUGCUAGGUUUAGGUAUAAAGCUGUUACUGGGUUUUCCUUUUUCUUCUUGUAUCUUUGCUUAAUCUCUACUUGGUUAUUUGCGGUCUUUAUAGUAUUUUUCAUUUGCUUAGUGAAAGUGGUUAGGCCUUACCCAAUCUUUCCCUAAAAAAACAAGACGAAAAAAAGCAUGCCUUGAGAGCUUACUACUCUCACACCAAAAAAAGAGAGGAGGAAAAUGGGGUAAUUGAUACUGGGGUAGCAAUUAGACUGAUCCAGCAAGGGAAGAUGAAAGUCUAAAAAUUAGAUUGAUUUUCUCUUUUUUUUAAAAUUUUUUAAAUUUAUUUUUGGUGGGCAAAGUCUCAAAAUCUUAGAAAGGUACAACGAUAACAUCAGCUUGCACAAAGACCAAAGAAAGGAGGUGGUAGAUAUCCCUCUAACCUGAAGUUGGACUUGGCGUUAGCUACACAUCUUGCCAACCAAUCUGUAGGUUGGUUUUUCCAUUGGAGUUGUGAGACACAAAAUUUUACCCCAGGAUCUUUAUUUACCAAUAUGUCAUGCAGAAAGGGAUUAGGAAUCUGCUUACCUAAAAUGACAGCCCAUGCAGCCAGGGCCGGCCCGAGCCCUAGGCGACCGAGGCGGUCGCCUAAGGCCUCGGGCCAAUGGAAGGCCUCCGGGAGCAGAAGCUGGCUAUGAGUCUUCCCCCUUGAUGGAAGGGAGGUGGAGGGUUUCUUGGCCUGCAGAGGGGCAAUUGGGGAAGUUGGGGACAGUAGUUUUGUUUGGGUGGAGAGAGAGAGAGNNNNNNNNNNNNNNNNNNNNNNNNNNNNNNNNNNNNNNNNNNNNNNNNNNNNNNNNNNNNNNNNNNNNNNNNNNNNNNNNNNNNNNNNNNNNNNNNNNNNNNNNNNNNNNNNNNNNNNNNNNNNNNNNNNNNNNNNNNNNNNNNNNNNNNNNNNNNNNNNNNNNNNNNNNNNNNNNNNNNNNNNNNNNNNNNNNNNNNNNNNNNNNNNNNNNNNNNNNNNNNNNNNNNNNNNNNNNNNNNNNNNNNNNNNNNNNNNNNNNNNNNNNNNNNNNNNNNNNNNNNNNNNNNNNNNNNNNNNNNNNNNNNNNNNNNNNNNNNNNNNNNNNNNNNNNNNNNNNNNNNNNNNNNNNNNNNNNNNNNNNNNNNNNNNNNNNNNNNNNNNNNNNNNNNNNNNNNNNNNNNNNNNNNNNNNNNNNNNNNNNNNNNNNNNNNNNNNNNNNNNNNNNNNNNNNNNNNNNNNNNNNNNNNNNNNNNNNNNNNNNNNNNNNNNNNNNNNNNNNNNNNNNNNNNNNNNNNNNNNNNNNNNNNNNNNNNNNNNNNNNNNNNNNNNNNNNNNNNNNNNNNNNNNNNNNNNNNNNNNNNNNNNNNNNNNNNNNNNNNNNNNNNNNNNNNNNNNNNNNNNNNNNNNNNNNNNNNNNNNNNNNNNNNNNNNNNNNNNNNNNNNNNNNNNNNNNNNNNNNNNNNNNNNNNNNNNNNNNNNNNNNNNNNNNNNNNNNNNNNNNNNNNNNNNNNNNNNNNNNNNNNNNNNNNNNNNNNNNNNNNNNNNNNNNNNNNNNNNNNNNNNNNNNNNNNNNNNNNNNNNNNNNNNNNNNNNNNNNNNNNNNNNNNNNNNNNNNNNNNNNNNNNNNNNNNNNNNNNNNNNNNNNNNNNNNNNNNNNNNNNNNNNNNNNNNNNNNNNNNNNNNNNNNNNNNNNNNNNNNNNNNNNNNNNNNNNNNNNNNNNNNNNNNNNNNNNNNNNNNNNNNNNNNNNNNNNNNNNNNNNNNNNNNNNNNNNNNNNNNNNNNNNNNNNNNNGGAUGUAUUGGGCUGCCCCUGGUCAACGCCAAUCCUCAGAUUAAAACAAAAUGGAUCUUUAGUUUAGUAAUUAUCUUAAUAUAUUUGAUAUCUAAAUCAACUGAUCAUCUUUCAUGUCUCCAAAAAAUAAUUCCAGCUGCAAAAGCCUUUUCCGAGUCUUAAGAAUUUAAGUUGGUUAUUCUUUGGGGCACACUAAUAUGGUAUCUUAAAACCCUUUGCAAAAUUGUCAUUCACUUAGUCAUAAGACUCAAAAUUUUCUAAUCAUAUAUUACAGCUUUGUACAUAGGUUGGAUAUUAGUAUAAUAGUGGAUUAACAAAUAACAUUUGACCAUUGGGUUCAUGUCAGGAAAAAUAAACCUCUUGUUACCCAACUUCGCUAUUAUAUAGAAUAUAGUCAUGAGAUCUUAAUGUAUAAAGUUUACUACUUUUUAAUAUCCUACAAUUAAAAAGAAAUCAUGAUGUCAUCAACUUUUUAUAUAAUAUAUUUCUUCCUGUAACAUUAGUUAUCUAGUUCAAUUUCUGAUAGGAAGCUGAGUUUUUAUAUUGCUUCGGUUAGAUUCAUUUUUAUUUGUUUGGAUUCACAAUGCUAUCUGAUGCGGUCGUGCAGGAACAAUAAUUAAUUGCGAGCUUCAUAGCGACGUCUCGGACAAUGCAGCUUCCUUUUGUAAGCAUGCCUUUUCUUUUUAAAAAUAUACCUACCGUCUGGCUUUUUCAAUAUAAUUUAAUCAUGCAGGCCACCUCCAUCAGGUAAGUAGGCCCUAGCAGAGCAGCCCCCACCCUUUCUUCUUCUUCUUCUUCUUCUUCUUCUUCUUUUNNNNNNNNNNNNNNNNNNNNUUCUUCUUCUUUCUUCUUUCUUCUUCUUCUUUUUUUUUNUUUUUUUUUUUUUUUUUUUUGUAAAACCAUCACCCUUUCUUAGGAUAUCAACUAAUGUGGAACUAAAUACGUGUCUGCACGGAUCUUCAUAUAUUCUCUUCAUUUAAACUCUGACGUUUUCGUCAGGCUACAAAUCCAUUCAAAUUUAAUCGUAAAUACUACGAUCGGCUCGUGGUUAGCUCCAAUAAAUUUGUGCUACAGUAUUUUUUAGUCCAUAUAAGUUAUGAAUCUGGUCUGCUCUGAUACAAUUUGUCACAACCUAAAAUCUUAUCCAAAAAAGCUAAUCGAAAAGUAUAAUUUAGGUUUCUUGAUCCUGCAUAAGUAUUCAAAAUCUAUCUAGUGAAUAGUUAAUGUGGGACUAAACACUUGUACAUGUUCUCACACCAAGUGAGCAGCCAGAUUGGAUGCAAACUUUUUCUCCUUUGGUUUUUGUAUAAAGCCUUCGAUCGGCGGCUAAACUUCUGUAGGAGAGGAGAGGAUUUGUCUUGGACUGUGACAUCCCCAUCUACCCCACCAAUAACCUCAGCAUGACUCAUGGCAGGUUACUCCUCACCGACGUCCGGCUCUCCUAAGCCCCUAUCCCCUCUGCUCCGCUGGCUCCAGAGGCAGAGUUCCAGGAUAAUAAGAGCUACGACAAGGACGUCAAGAUCGAGAAGAAUUGCAACAAGAUUCAUGAAAAUGUUGUAUUAGUGGAGAAAUAGCAACAAUAUCUCAUACCUAAUCAAAAUGUUGCCCGGUUGGCACGCGGAGAACUUUCUUUCCGGCGAUGCUGCCACCACCGCCGAUGCUAAUGGCUUCUCUCAAGUCUGUUGUCAUUCUGAUUUCUUUCCUUCUUUCCUUUGUUUCUAUCGUUGUUAUUAGCGGCAAGUGUUGGAUUGAGAGGUUGGCAUGGUUGUGUUGGUUGGCAGGUAAAUGGGGAUUUGUUAAAGGCUUUGGUUUUUCCCGGAGAGCUUUUUCCAACAGGCUCGCCGGAAAGCUCCCGGAGAGAUUUUCAGGUAGGAUAUAUAUAUAUAUAUAUAUAUAUUUCUAUUCUAUUGUUAAAUAUUUUGUUUGCUGAUUCUCGUAUACUUAUACUCACUUAGUUUAAUUUAUCUGGUUUACUAUAAAAAAUACUUAAAGGUGAUUUAUGUGUGUUUAAUAAAAUGAUACAGAUGAUUCUAGGUGGGGAUUGAAUAUUUGAAUGCUGCUGUUUGUAUAUUAAUAAAAGAAUUUUUUAGUUGAAACAUGUACAAAUAUGGCCUGUUUAUUUAAAAAAUUAUAUUAUUUGGUGCAAUUACUAAUGUAAACUAUAAAUAUGAUUUUAUUGCAUUAAAAUUUGCAUCAAAAUAGUACAGAUGUUACAGCAAUUUUAAGUUUGGCCCCUUUAUCAUUGAGCUUAUGAUGAUUUUGCGUUGUCAAUUGUGAAGUAAGCAUGAGAUCUAACCCUUUUGAGCCGGACUUUGUCGGCAAUAUUUGGAUCUUAGAAUAGGUUAGAUAGAAAUGGACCCUCAACUUCCAACAUUUUAUGGUGUUGAAAAUGAGAUAAGAAUGUUACCUAUUGAUGCUAUGGGUUUAUGUUGGUAAUCUUUUAAUGUCAAUAGAAGUAUGAGCACACGGGUUCAUCUUAUUUUUCGCUCAUAGACAUUGAAACAAACAUUAUGGAGCCUGUGCUAAUUUUGAUCGGUGAUACACCUUUAAACCAGAUACAUAUAGUUCACCAGAAGGUCCAACUAAUUAAAUUAUGCCACGAUGCCAACAUGAGGUAGAUUGGAAGCGGCCAAACAAGUCCAGCAUCAUACUGUCGAGUUUGCAUAUCAAGAGCUCCCUACAAUUAGCUGCAUCCUAACGAAAGGACCCAAUGAUCAUCGAGAUCCCACUGAUGUCAACAAUGCGUGAAGCAUUCACGCCCAAUAUCCAGAUUGACCCACACGCCCCAAUUUUCUGGUGGUAGGUAGACUCCUUUACCUAACAUACAUAAGAAGAGAGGCAGAGGAGGUAAGUAAGGAGAAACAGAUUGAAAAACAACCUCUUUCUAUUCUCUGAUUACUAUAUUGACUUAGGCAUCGAAAAAUCUCCGUCAGAUAUAUUUUAGCUAGAAAAUUUCUUUAUUCUAUACUUUUUCAGAUUGGAGUGCUGUCAUCCGACAAAAAUUUUGGCUGCAGCGAUCGAGCGCCGCACGUCUUCUUUAAUUCCAACCAAAGCAACCAACUAUCGAGUUUUCUAGUAUCACCAUGCUUUUCAUCGCGGUGUCUAAGGCCAAUCAAUUUUCAGCGGUAACAAUCGGUGAAUUCUUCUGUUCUAUGACAUAAUGCCAAUUUGGCAAUUCCCCUCCCAUCUGUUGGCGAGAUGCCUCUCGCUGCCCACUGCUUCACUAAUCCACCCUUUUCUUUUCUUUUUUCUUUCGGUUUGCUCUUCUUUGACCUUUUUUUUUGUGAGCAUCAUGGGGCCCAUGCACGGAAAACUCAAAAAAUUACUUCUUCUAUGCUCGGUUGAGAAGGCUCUCGAAGAAAGUGCCUUUUACCUAAUUUCGUACACAGCAUAUUCCAAAUACCACCACUACAUCACAAACACUUCCUUAGGACUUAGGAGGUUCGUAUUGACCUUUUCACGAGUAGGUUAGCAGAUUGAAAGUUGUGACCGAGGUUGAAUGGUGUGAUUAGAGAGGUUAGUUUUGUGAUCAGGAAUCAUCUUGGUAGGAUGAUAGCUGUAGGAGGUCAGCAUAUGCCUGCACUUACGGUAGUGGGGGCUGAGCUGCGGAUAGCCUGCAAGAGUAUAUCCUAUGCGAGGCUGGUGCUUGGUGCCGAGCGGAUGUACCUCGAGGAAGACUCCUCCAUGGUGAUUGAUUGGAUCCGAGGGGCGAAUAGGUUUGGUGAUGGUCAUCCCCUUAUUCGGAAGAUUCGCAGGAUGACUCAGAUGUUGGGCGGCUUUCGGGCAGCAUACGCGUUUAGGGAGGCGAACAGUGCAGCAGACUGGGUCGCCUCCUAUGUCGCCCGACAUUCCGGGAAUUUUAUUUGAACGUCUGUUUUAGAUGUUCUCUAUUCUUUAUAUUUUUUACUUUUCCUUAAUUUGGCAGGAUGUACUUACGUUCGAGUUAUAUGAUAUAAGUAGUCGUUUUNACCCCCCCCCCCCCCCCCAAAAAAAAAAAACGUUGUGACUGAGAGACGGUGCUUCUCAAUAGCUUAUGUUAAAAUAUUUAAAAGAUACCACCCUCUUGUAGUAAGUUUAAUCUCAUAUACGUGUUAUUUUCUCAAACUCAAAUGUUACUCUAUCAAUUUGAGUAAUACUAAAUAUGGCACGACCAAACCUAGAUUUGCACUUUGCAGAAAAUACGAAAGCCCCCCACUUUUUUAUUUGUGGAUAAGGCCGCGUUUGUUCGCUUGAAAAUAGUUAAUUUUCACUCCAUAUCCCAACCAUACAACCAUGUUAGCAAGUUUUUUUUUCUUUUUAAAUUAUAGAAUCCGAACCAUGGAGAUGUGUUUGAAUUAAUUCACAGAACAAAUGAGUUAACAUAGAUCAGAAGCAAAUAUUUCAAGAUGGCCGUUCUACAGUCAAAGGUGGCCUAACUUAAUUGGGAAAAUAAUUUUAAGUCUAUUUUGUUAUUAAUUGGAUAAAAUAAUUCUUUGUUCAAAAGAAGGUAAAAAAUUAAAAGAAAAUCUCAACAAUGAUUUGGGCAAAUAAUACCAACGUUUUUCUCUUAUUAUCAUUUCUUCAUUAUAUUAGCAAGUAAUGAUAAUUAUAACUCUGUUUGUUUUCAUAUGACAUGAUCUUAGUCCGAAAAAAUUUAAUAAAUAAUAUUUGUUAAAACCACUACAACAAUCAAAAAUAACUUGUAAAGGUUAUCAUUAUAAUGGGAUCAUAGCAUUAUUCAAUCCUUGAUUUUCUCUACACACAGCUGUAAUUAUGUUUCAUCGCAACCUAAAAACAAGUAUCAUGCACCAAGUUCAACUUAGAAUGGAUUUUUUUGGAAGUAAUUUUUAUAUGCUAUAAUAUCGUGGCUAGAAGUUCCCACAAAUUAUAAUACAGAAUAAUGUAGAUUUUUUUUUAAUUUUUAAAAAUCAAUGUUCAUUAAACAAAAAUAACUUUCGAUUGUUAGAAUGUGGAUUUGAUAAUAUCAUUACUUAACUAGCUUUUUUUUUUGUUGCAUUCCAUUUUAUAUCUAACAUGAGACCAUUAUAAGAGUCGUUUUUCAUUUGCAAAAACUUUGCUACAUGGAUGAACUAGGUAUAUCAAUUACUUGCAUUGCCAUUUUAUAUUACUCAAAUUGUUUAAUAUAAUUUUGAAUAGUUGCUUAAAUUGCUUUUUUUUUUUGGUUCAUAUGAGCACAACCAGUUACAUCACUAACAAGAAUACUAGUAAAAUCAGCAGGAACUAAAACCUGCUGAGUCCAUAGAAACUCUCCUGAAUGCUGCGCAGCAAAGGAGGCGACCCAAUCAGCAGCUUGGUUCGCCUCCUGUGGAACGUGUCUGACCUGAAUAGCCCGGCAAUCCCGUAGCAUCCAUCGCAUAUCACACAAAAGUGGGUGCUCCACCACCUCUCGCCUCUCCACCUGAAGGCGAUCAAUCAAGACGGCAGAGUCCUCCUCCAGAAUGAUCCCAUCCGCCUCCAGCACAUAUCUCGCAUGAGAUAACCCCAUCCAUGCAGCCUUGAGCUCUGGCCCGAAUGCUAAGGCCUUAGAGGAGCGACAUCCCCUCGCAGCAAUCAGCCUAGCACUGUGGUCUCUGAUCACAAAAGCCACUCCUGCCUAAUCUCCAUUGGUAGGCAUACUUCCAUCGAAAUUCACCUUAAGAUGGCCAAGAGAUAGGGGCUCCCAAGAGACAAGAACAAACCUGGGUGCUAUGGUAACGGAGGGGGGUUCCAGAUGUCCCUAGCUAUUACUGGUGAAUCCAACUCAAACGACUCAAUGACCUCCACUGCCUGAUAGAGAGCCCGCUCAACAACAAAUCUUGGAGGGCCCUCCUACCCACAAAGACUCUAGUAUUCAUGUCCAGCCAAAUAUAAUAAGCCAAGUAAACCGCAGCUAUGCCCCAUCCAACAGUGCUCGGUGACUGUACAGUAGCACUCACUUGCUGAAGAGAGUUCUCUACCGAAAAAUUGGAUCCCGAAAGGGGAAACAAUGCUCUCCUCCAGAUCUAGGCAGUCCGAGAGCCCUCAAACAAAACAUGACUGGCAGUUACUAAGUGUUCACUAUUAUUUUUGUGUCAAAGCUACAUGACAUUAAAAGGCACGCGAAUCGCACGUGCAAAAUAACGAGUAGGCACCAGCUCGGGGUGGGGGGGAUGACCGUGUCCCACCCGACGGAAAUCAAGAGCCAAGAAGGCUUCUUGUGAGAACAAAGAACCUGGGAAGGCUCGGCGGCGGCGCUUGUGGCGGUGACCGGAGAGACUCGGUGGGAGGCGAUGCUGCUCCCUCGCGGUGCUUUAGAAGCGUCACCCACGCCAAGGAGCGGCGGCCCGCGGGCGAUGCUAGGCGUUGCACCAGUUAUCGUCGCGUUGCUGCUGCUUGAAUGCGCCCCGGAAGCCGCUCAUGGGCUAGACUCCAAGUCCGUCUCCGCCUUCGUACAGAACGUCGUCUACUCCAAUCGGAUCGCCAUCUUCUCCAAAUCCUACUGCCCGUAACUCCUAUUAUCUUCACCUGCUUUUUUUUUUACUCCAUAUCUCUUCUGAUUUAAAUCCGGGAUUGGAAGUGCACAAGAAUCUGAUGCUUGGUUUGAUUUGCUGGAUCAAAUGCUGGGAGAUGUUAUAAUCCUUGGAAAAAUUUUAAUUGAAAGUAGUUUCAGAAGAAAUCAUGCGUUGGCAAGCUGACAUUCUUUCACUUUGAGUUUUUCCCCUUUUAGCUGGCUCAUACUAUGAUGAAGUAUAGGAGUUCUUGGCUGCGUUAACAAUUUUGUGUACCUAAUUCAUGUUUUAUUGUUAGCUUGUUUUUCAGCAUUUGAAGAUAUUGAUGAUAACAUAUAUAUUUUUAAUUAUCUAAUCUUGUAAUCAUAGAUUGGUUUUUUAUUUAUGGCUCCACUCAGUUAUAUUUAGAGGAAAUUAUGAAAGAAAAAUUCCUUGUCUUUAAUUGGAUGUACCAUGGGCACGCAUAUUUUUUAAUUAUCUAAUCUUGUUACCCUAGAUUUUUUUUCUUCUUAUUUAUGGUUCCACUCAGUUAUAUCUGUAAGAGAUUUUGAAAGAAAAAUUCAUUGUCUUAAUUGGGUUUAUCACGGGCAUGUACAAGUUGAUGUUGAUCCCGUCUUUGAAUUAUCUCAAAUCAUCAUUUUUCUUUUUCAAUCAAAUCAAAUCAAAUACAGGGAUUCCUUCCCCCUCCAGCACCCUCUCCCUCUGUACAGGUGAGAGUAGCAAACCAUACAGAAGCAACUGGAUCAUAAUAAAAUUGGAUCCUUUCUACUCAAAAGAGAGAAAACACAGUUGAAACAGUUCUAGACUUCUUUCACAUUUGUUUACAGUUUGGAUAGCCGUGAUUUCUUGUGUUGGUCCAAAAAUUGAACCAUUAAAUGGGGUGGUUGUGUUGAAACAUUAUCAUCUUCGUGUUGGAGGUGUUGCAAAAUUUCUGAGCUUCAAAGGGUGAAGCAUGACCUUAGGGUCAUAGAUCGGAAGAAGAUUUAGGUUUUGAAGGACCAUUUAUGUGGGAGAUAAUGCUUCUUGUGGGUUUUUCAGUAGAUUUAUUAUAGUGGCCAAGUUAGCCAUGUCCAAUGCAGCAUCAUGUGCUAAAGACAUCUCAUUUACAAGUUUGUUGCAUAUUUUGCAUAGUAUAACGUGCUUCCUGGCAUCCUAAGUAGCAUCCAUAUCCGUGAAGUAGGUUGAUUGAAGGGUGUAUUUGGGAGCCAUAGGACACCUUAGUACUAAUUUAUGUCUCUUUAUUCUUUCCCCCCUCCUUGCCUUUGAUUUGAUAAUUCAUUGUGGGGAUUUGGGGUGUGUUGAAGGUUGUGGAGAUUUUGAUCUAAGUACUUAAAAUGAUUGGAUUUCAUUCCUGAAUAUGCUGAAGUUACCAAGCUCCCAGUUGCUUGCUUCAUUUGUGAUAAAAUGUGCUGCUAACCAUAGACAAUUUCCUAAUAACAAGUGAGUCUCAUCAUGAUUCCUUAUCAACUGAUCCAAUUCUCGAAGCAAGGUUGUUUUUCCUAGUACUAGAAUGAAUUGAUCCUAAAGUUAGAGUUCUGUUUGAGGUUAAAAGUUUGCUUAGAGUGAUAAAUUUGUGAGGAUCAAAAAAUUGAUUUCAGUGUUUUGCAUGGGCAUGUACUUGGAUGGAUCUGAUUUGUUUUAACAUACCAUUACAAUAAACAUUAAAAGCUUGUCUCGACUAACUGGGUUGACUUUAUGAAUCUUCAUUUGCCAAGUAUUCCAUGAAACUUGGGUUUAUCUAAUAGUGUUACAUGCUUUCCACGAUUGGUUGUCAACGUGUCAUUAGCCCUCCACAGAUUUGGGUUUAUGAAUAGCAUUGACUAUAUCCUUUAAAGUAUGGAACAAUGAAAAAAUAAAAUUCAUAAUGCAUAUAAUCUCAUGGUUGGUUGAUAUAAUUCGAAAUGCAAGUGAAGACCAAGCAUGGGAUGAUUCCUACAAGAUAUCGAAACAGAUACGAGAUAGGACAUGAAAUGAGAUGGGCAAGCCAAUACAACAAAUCUUGAAAAACAUAGGAUACAGAUACAUGGGCAUAUUACAAUAAUUAUAUGUGUAAAUAUAGAUAACUUUAUCAUAUAACAUACAUACAUACAAACAAACAAAAAAUGUUGAUAGCAACAGUUAGUUUAUUCCUGACAAUGUAAUAUGUUGAAUUGAAAUAUGGAAGUUUUUCAGAUGAGAUACUUACAUAUGCAUAGCUUAUGUUUGCAUUAUAUUUCAUCAGUGGUAGUAGGUCAAUCUAGAGCAUUCUUCACUUUCUCAUGUAAUAUAUGGCAAUGUAUGAUCUGGUGUUGAAAUAGUAGUGCUUUGUUUUCUGCACUUGGAUGGGUGUCCAUUCAAAUUGCUGGGGUCCUAUUGUGCUGCAAUAAAGUGUUAAUCUAACAUAUUGGAGGAUGUUGCUCAAAGUUUGUAAUUUUUCCAUGGGAAAACAAUUGUUCAUGCCCGUUCCACUUAGUAAUAUAAAUAGAAAAUAAUUCUUGAUUAAUAGUCUGCUUCUCCUAUAUAUCCUGUAGAUUAUGUAAUCGUAAUUUGGGUUCUGCAUGCUUGUUUGCAUUAUUUAACUUUUUUUUUCUAGGUAUUCACUACGCGCUAAACGUGUGUUUAACGAACUAAGUGAGAAGCCUUUUGUUGUGGAGCUUGACCUUCGAGGUAAUCUGUCUGCUUUUCUCGCCCCAUAUUGCUUGCAACAAGUGAAAAACUGAUCUAUAGCCGAAAUUCUUGAUAUUGUCUUUUAAUACUCUGGAUUUUUUUUGUGAAGAGUUGAAGGAUUAGUUUGUGUUACAAUUUAGUUUUCCCCUUAUGAACUAUGUGGUCUCUUCACCAGCAUUGUAUGAAUUUCAUUGAUAGCUAGAUUUCUGCCAAGGAUCUGUAAAUAGAAAUAUUAAUCCUCAGAACUAGAGUGAUUCUGAAAGACAUACAUCCCGUGCCACCUUUUCAUUGCUUCAAACACUCAUGCACACACACAAAUAUCAGCUAUCUCUAGGGAAAUUGAUGGUUCUGUCUCUCUCUGAAUUCAUGCUUUCUGAGUGCCAUGGAAAUUAUUGUAUCCAUUUUUCUGAUAACGUAGCAUUUCCAUAUCAAACACUAAAUUUCUAUUUGCCAUAUCUCAUGUUGCCCAUUUUCUGAACUAAAAAGAAAAUGAGCAUAUCCUAGUUUUUUUUUGAAAAAAAAGAUCAUGAUGUUAUAGAGAUUCAUGCUUUCUGAACCAUGGAAAUUAUUGUAUCUAUUUUUGUGAAUGACAUAGCAUUUAUCUAUCCAUCACUAUAUUUCUAAUGGCCAUUUCUCAGAUUGCGUAUUUUCUAAACUCAAAGAAAAUGAGCAUGUCCUAGUUUUUUUAUAAGAUCAUGAUGUUAUAGAUGCUUAUGGAAGGUUGGUAAAUUUUAACUAUUUAUAGCCUAAGAUUGAUAUAAUAUUAUUUUUAUUCAGAUGAUGGGCCAGAAAUUCAAAAUAUUCUUCUAGACCUAGUUGGUCGCCACACCGUACCACAAGUUUUUGUGAAUGGUCAGCACAUUGGUGGCUCGGAUGGUCUGUACCCAUGACUUAAACCUCCAUAUUUUCCUUUCUGAAUUUGCUCUUUAGUUUUUGAUAGUCUGACCUUCACCUCCCUUCAAAUCACUCAGAUACGGUGAAGGCGCUUGCAAAUGGGAAACUUCGAAAGCUUCUUGGUAAAAAUCAAUGACAGCUGUAUGUUGGACGAAGCCAAUAACUGGAACAUGGUUUUGAGGCAGAAAUAUGCUCUUGGAAUUGCAGGUUGAUUUCUUUGGUUAAGAUUGAUUCACAUAACAUUGUUGUUUUUGAUACUGUGAAGAAAGGGAUGCCUAACAUGUAAGUGCUAAUCUUUAGCAGAAUUAUGCAAAAAUAUCAAUUGCACAGUGGUUGUUGUCUAGUGCGUGAUUGUUGAUCUCAUUGCCCAGGGAGCUAUGUCCUCAUGCUGCUAAGUUUAAUUAGCAAAAGCCCUUAAUGAUCAUUAGAUUUCUUGGACUACAUGUGUUUCAUCCACUAGCUUCUUAGCUGUUCUUAUUAGCGGCUCCCAUUUACAGUGCCUCAAAUCUGUUGGACAACAAGAUCGUUUUUCUUGUCCAUUCUUCAUCCUCUAGAAACAACGUAACCGAUAUGCUGAAAACUGGAUCCUUGGGUGGUGUUUUGAAUGAACAGUGUUUUUUUUGUCCUCCUUUCUUUUUAAAUUUUGACUGAGGAUGUCAUGAAUUACUUUUCUAGCUUUGUUCAAAUACUGGGGUGGUGCUUUGAGAAGAGUUAUUUCUCCAGCUUUGCUCAAAGAUCAAGGUUGGCCAACAUUGCGAAUCGUCUUUCAGAAUAAUAGAUGGCAUGCCAGAAUGCUUAAAAACACCUUUGAAAUGCAAUGUGUUUUACUUGGAGUUGUUAUAUGGGUUCUAUUAUUAUUGUGGAAACAGCGGAGGAAACAACUAAAAAAUGAAUAGGUUUUGGUUUUUGAACAUAAGGUGCGGGAAAACACAGAUCAUAUCGAAAAAAAAUCCUGACGAGAUGAUCUUGACCUAGAAACCAAGCGUGAGGGAGAAAAGCAGUAUUGCCGUUGAUUACUGACUUUGCUGGAUGAAGGAACAACCCCACCUCUGUAAAAGGAGAACAGGGGCGUUCGUGAGUGAAGGUCGUUCUGGGCUAGCUUUCCAACCCCACACAGAGACACCGAGAUGGCGGCGCUUCGGAAUCACUUGCUGACCAGAAGAUGAGAUCGAGGAAGCUCGCUGAGAGUAGGAAUCUACGACAUCAGUGGCAAAGAGUUUAGGACGGUGAGUGCCUGUGGAGCUGAUGGCUAACGAGUUCAAGUAAAAGGUAAACUGUUGAUCCUGGAGGAAAACGCCAUAAAGGAGGGGCCAGAGAGAAGAUUGCGCCUUCCUUUGGACACCUUUGUUUAUCGUCUAUAUUGCCCAUCAUAUUGGUUGUUUAGAAAUGACUGAAUAAUUAAAAAUAUAAAUCUAAGCUGUGUGCGGCCUAUUAUCUUGGAGGGUGACUUGGUCGCUGUGAUAGGUUGAAUUCAGAAGGAUCUGAGUGGUUUGGAUUGAGACCACUCUCUACUUCAAAAUAUUUUGGACGAUGGUCGGAAAUAGAAUGGCGUUCCAGACCAAGCACUUUUUAGAGAGGCCAUGGCGCUACAAAUUAGGCGGCCGCGUACGUGGCUAACUACUCUAGUUGCACAUUAUGAAUUCGGAAAGAAAAGUUGCCUAGGAUACUUUGCAAUUUGUUGUUUUCUAAUUUUAUUGGAUAUGUCGGAACUUGUGUAGUCCUAUUGUUUGCCUUAAAAAGAAAAGGAAAAAAAAUAUAAACCUAAACGCUUGCCCAAUCUUUACAGAAGCUGCUCUUCAAGCUUUUUGGAGUUCACUCGUACUAAUGCCACCACGAGGUCUCUGACAGUUUCUAUAUCAACCCAUGUGCCUUCUUUCAUUUGGAGCCUCGGCCCACGAACUUCCUCAAAAUCAACUUUAAUGGGAUGACUAAGCUUGUGGGGGAGCGGGUUUGGCAUCGAAAGUACUAUUCGUUCCUUUAUUGUUGCAGGGGCUGCAGGAGGUUUGGGUAGGUCUCAUUUACCCUGCUACAGUACUUUGAGCAACUCCCGUUGCACUGGUGUCCCGUUAUCACGAGAGAGUUGGGCAACUUUUUAAUGGGCCAACCUAUUUAUAUUUUUAAUUUUUUUUAAUUGGCUUGAUCUACAUUUUUUUAUACUUCUUUUAUAGAACUAGGAUGGGAGAAAAUCUCAGCUGCACUCGGGGCAAAUUUUUAUACUAUAAAGACUGAAAUCAAUGUGUCAAUAACAUUAUACUAUUAUUAUUAUCUAUCUCGAGUAGCUUUUAUUAACAGUUAUGAUGAACAUGAUGAACCUUAUUUGCCUAACUUUUGAUUCUUUUAUUCUUAAUGGUUGUAUUAGCUGUAAUCAUAGAGACUGACAUGCAAUAACCAGAAAAAGGGAGGUAUUUCUUAACAAAUUCAUAAUUUCGAAAAAGAUGCUCUUUUCUUGGUACCCCUAAUUACUUCAAGAUACCAUCUAUAGGAUGUGUAGCUAUGCAUUUCAUGAUGCAUCUGUUGUAAUUCUCACACCUGUAAAACUCCUUUAUUUGCAAUUUAUCCUCCAUAUCCUCUAUCUGUAUAAAGCUAAAAAUGGAGGGAUCAAAUAACCACUGUUACAUCAAUUAGAAUAAUGUCUUAAAAAAGCCUGUUCCAAGGAUGCUUGGAUCUGAAGCUGCAGAACACAAUAAGGACCUCUCGUUACUUUGAGGACUCAAUCCAUCCGUAGAAAAAAAAGAAAAAGUGUGGCCAAAAAAAAAUAAAGGUAGCCUUUUUUUUUUUGUUUGAUUAGAGUUUUUUUUAAAAAAAAAGUAACAUUUCUAUAGGAUUAAGAUUCUCAUGUUUCAUGAGAAAGAAGAAGCACAUAAAAUAUGAAAAAAACUACUUCCAAUUAAAAAUUGAAAUUUUUUUCUAAAACUAUCCGUAAGGCAUCAAAAUUUAUGAGGUAUUUUUUAUUAAAAAUAUAAUAAAUAUUUCAUAAAUUUUUCUAAAAAAUAAAUACUUAACUAAGUAUAAAUCACUUUAGAAUACAAUUUUUUAUGUCGAUCAAAUAUGUCAAAAUUAUUUUUUAAAAUAUUUUAUUUUAAAAAAUUAAUUUUUUAAAAACAUUUUGAUAAAAAAUUUCAUUAAUAAAAAGGAGUCCUGAAUUAUUAUCAGAACUCCUGCCAUGGGGAGAAGAAAAUAAUCAAUAAUGGUACGAGCAUGGAUGAAAGCCUCCAGAGAGAGGGAACAGGGAGGGACCCAGACUCCAGCAUCCAACCCAAAUGCAUGCUCGCCCACCAGCCAGCCUCCGCAGGGUGGCUCCUUUCCCCACGCAGCGCACCGUAAUCCCUAAUUGCCGUCGAGAAAUAAAUAGCAACUAAACCUUCCAGAGAUGAGAAAUGUUAGGCUGCUAAUCUACCCUUUUCCCUUUUUUGGCCUUUUUUUUUUCCCACGUUAGCAGAGAUAGCAAUGGAUUUGUAGGUUAUAUUUUCAUUCCUCAGCAUAUUUACAAAUCCAUGCAUUAGAAAUAUAACAGCUCCAACAGAAGAUCAAUGCUGAUAUUGUCUUUAGGCUAUGGCUACCUAACCAUGAGCUAGCAGAUUAGAUGAUUGCACCCAUCUCCUUAACAAAACUAUAUGAUGAUAAAUGGCCAUCAUUCUUUUUUUAAAAAAAAUGUUACCUAUAUCUGCCUCGUACUAAAAUAUGCAUUUUGUGAUGCAUACGGUAUGAGCUAUAUACCGGAUCUAAUGAUGCACUGAAGUUUUCCGCAAGUUUGGCAUGGCUGCAGUCACAGCUGCGCGAACAGUUAUCGUUGGGGUCCGAAUCUUUGUUUGAGCAUCAACUCUGCUUCACUCUAGUAUUUUUUUCUCGAAUAUGCUUUCGCUUGAUUCAAACCUGCGGCGUUUUCAGAGUUUUUCAGAAGAAAAGUAUAGAGGGUUGAAGAAUAGAAAUAGACAGAAUGCAUUUCAGACAUAGUACAAAUAAAAUUCAAUUCUUUUUUAUUUCAGAAUUUUGUGUUUUUUUUUAAUAUUUGACAAGCCAUUAGAUUCGCUCGGUAGCUCCCUUGAUGCAAAUGUAAGUAAAAAUGCAUUGCAAACAAUUAAAUUAAAUAGCUUUAUGAGAGUUUGAAAGUCUUCUUGAAUUUCAUAAGUUAUAUUAUAAACAAUGUUUUGAUCUCACACACUAGUUAACCUAACUAGCUCAAUUGCUAGAGAAUUGGUUUUCAUAUUGCAUAUAUGUUUCGAGAUUGUAGAUUCAAGUUGCAUGGAGCAAAUAUUCUUAAAACUUUUUUUAUUGGAAAGGACGAGAUUAUUUCACCAUAGGCCUAUUUGGUAGGUGGAAUAGAAAUGCAAUAAAAACCUUAUUUCCUGUCUCUUUUUUUUUUUUGCUAAGGUCCUUAUUUCCUGUCUCUGCCAUCAACAAUUGUUUUUAACCACUCAAAUAUAGUUACACCCUUCAAAAGGGAUAAAUAGGAGGGAGAGGGUGUAAUUCUAUUCUACCAGUUUAGUGAAACAGACCGGAAAAGCUAACCAUCCAAUUAUAGUUUGGGCUUAUCCACUCUCUAAAUAAUAGAUAUACAAGAGACGAGGGAGGUAAUUUUAUUCUUAUGAUAAAAUUUUAAUUAUCGCAAAGUCCUGUACAUAUUACAUGCACACACUUAUUUCUCUCAUCAAAUAUACAAAAUUUGUAUUUCAUAUAUUGCUCCUCUCUCUUCAAAUUUAUUUAAAUAUUUUUUUCUAAUAUUUUCAAAAUUUGUUCCGUAACCAAAAGCUACCUAGGAGACAAAUAGACUAUUCGAUUACAUUCUUCCUACCUCCAUACCAUCAUAGCACAAAUCAUGGAGGACUCCCAUUGUAUGUGAUAUGUCCAAACCAAAGAUAAUAUUUCGUAGAUAUAUUAUUUAUUUAUUUAAUAAAUUUAUUUUUGAUAAUAUAGUCACUUUUGUAUCUAUGAAAUUAACAAAUAUUAAUUAAAAAUAUAUUCAAAUUAAUAAUAUUUAAUGAGCCAUCUACAACUAUUCUCCAUUUUUUUUCUCUCACAUAUAUCGCAUGUUCUACGUAUCCUAGCUUCUAAAUUUAUUAAAUAUUAUCUAUCCAACACUUCUUCAUCAUGCAUCUACACAGAGAUCACACAAUGGACAUAUCUACACCCCACCCCCGGAAAGUACCGACACUGGCAUUUAACCCAAGGUAUCUUGAAGAAAUUACGCAAAAUCGUCACGAAAGCGCCCGAUUACCCAUAUUGUUGUUGACCUAAGUCAAACAUAUUCUUGAUUCAUUGGCCAGUUUUUUUUUUUUUGAUUUUUUUGGCUGUAUUCAUUUAUGUUUUUUGUGAAGUACUGAUGUACUAAAAUUUUUUUUAUUAAAACUAAAUGUUGAAUGUGGUUAUCUAAUGUUCAGAACAAUAGUCAAAUAAAGCUUCGCCCCAAAUGCCUAGAUCCAAGAUUUUAUUGAAGAUUCUGUAAAUAAAUACAGACAAGUUGAAAGAAACUGCAUGCGGAUUCCAAUCUCCCCCUCAGGUGUCCAUGUGCUGAACGGUAAAAUCCCCAUCUCCUCCCAUACNNNNNNNNNNAAAAAAAAAAUCUCCAAGAAAGCUAAGCUCGCUCUCUGUGCAACGGAGGAAAAGACUCCAGAUUAAAUUAAUCACGGAUUCCCACUUUUAAAAGUCCUACUUCCGAGCUUCAAAUCCUUUGGAUUUGAUUCACUCUCAUCGCACUCCUUACUUCCACUCCCCUCGAAACCCUAAUGGCUUCCCCUCAUUCCUCUCUCUGUUCCCCUCUGCUUCUGCUCCUUUUCCUUGUAACUCCACUCACAGUGACUUCCAAGACUUUCCCUGGAGACACCGAAGCUUUGAAGGCCGUGAAGCAGGGCGUGGACCCCCGGUCCAUCCCCUCGGGCUCGUGCCUCAGCACCUGGGACUUCGCCGCCGCUGACCCCUGCGACGCCGCCUUCAGCCCCCGCUUCACGUGCGGCCUCCGCUGUGACACCAGCGACGCUGCCGGCUUCCUCCGCGUCACCGAGCUCGCCCUCGACCCUGCCGGCUACUCUGGCUCCAUCACUCCCUCAGUCUGGUCGCUCCCCUUUCUCGAGUCCCUCGAGCUCGCCGACAACAGCCUCGCCGGCGCCGUCCCGCUGCCGCCUCCAGCCGGCCUUCCCCCUCGCCUCCGCCGCCUCUCCCUCUCCCGCAACGCCUUCUCCGGCGAGAUCCCUGGCUUCUCCGCCGCCCCCGCCCUCGAGGAGCUCUACCUCGACAACAACCUCCUCUCUGGCCCGAUUCCGCCGGGACUGGCGACGCUCCCCGCCCUUCGAAGGCUAGAACUCCAGACGAACAACCUCACCGGCGAGAUCCCAGAUCUGGGCCCCCUCCAAAACCUCACCUUCCUUGACGCCAGCAACAAUGCUCUCUCCGGCGGGUUCCCAUCGGGGAAAUUCCCGGCGUCGGUGGUGGAGAUCUCUCUCCGGAGCAACCGGCUGGAGGGGGAGAUCCCAGGGGCAGCGGUGGCGGCGCUGCCGGCGCUCCAGGUGAUGGAUCUCAGCCACAACGGGCUCUCGGGGGCGGUCCCCGGGGCCGCCUUCGAGCACCCCUCUCUCGAACAACUAACCCUCGCCUAUAACCGGUUCGAGUCAAUCAAACGCCCGGGGGACGGCGGUCUGGUGAGCCGGCUCAUCGCGUUGGACCUGGGCCACAACCGGCUUGGAGGGUUCCUACCGGCGUUUCUGGGGUCGAUGCCCCGGCUCUCGGCGCUGUCGCUGGAAGACAACCGGUUCACGGGGAUGAUCCCGGCCCAGUACGCGGUCCGGGUGGUCGGGGCUUGGGGGGCGGUGCCGUUCGCCCGGUUAAUUUUGUCGGGGAAUUAUUUGUCCGGGCCUGUCCCGAGCCCGCUGGUGGGGUUGAAGGAAGGGAGCGCGAUGGUCAAUCUGGCGGACAACUGUUUGUUUCGGUGCCCGCCGGAGUUUUUCUUCUGCGACGGGGGAAGACAGAAGCCGUCCACCACUUGCCGGGAAUUCAACCCAGUAAUCCCGUGAGCAGAGUCCUCCGUCGCAAAAUUAUAAACUACUGCUAUUAUAUUAUGUGUUUUUUCACUUUCUUAAUGCGUGUGUUGUUGAAUCUCUUGUUGAUGUGAAAAAAGAAAGGUUUUGUGGCUGUAGAGGAAUAGAUUUUGUAGUGCAUUGUUGCAGGGACUGGAUACUAUGGCUCUGAGAUUGGAUUUGGAUAUGAGGGUGGAUACUGACGGUGGGAAAUGAGGUUGGGAUGUUUGUGCAGCGCGCAGAGGGAGAUCCGUAAGCAGCGGUGUGGAGUCGCAGAAGGAUUUAGAUGUUGCUGGAGCGGAAAGUCCGUCCUGUGUCAGUGGGGCUGCUUCUGCUUCUAUUUGAUUGGGAGUGAGACUGUGGGAGGGAACAAUGGGCUCGGUUUACGUGCUAGGUUGGGUCAGAUGUUGGACUGAUUUAAAUCGUUGCUGAGGGUUAUCUCAGUCUACUCUUGGCUAGAUGAACUUGGGUACAAGUUAAGCUGAAAAAAUUGGGCUAGCUCAAGUUCAAAAUGAACUACUGUUUUAAGCGACUAAUAAUUUUAGGGGGAAAAACACCUUGCAUAAGAAAAAACGAAGUUUGAAAGCUGGUGCGAUGACACACUUCCGUUGUAAUUAUGCUGUUUCACGGACAGUGAUGCAUGCAUCCUUUCACUGGUGAGCGGCAAAAUUGUGACUCUGAGAAGGACAGGAGGAAGGAGGGGCCCCACUGCUGGCUCACUGUCUGUAAAAUAGACCUUUUUUUUAAAUUAAUUCCUUGGACCGGCAAUCAGAGAGCUCUAUCGUGCUGGCUUGACGGUCCCCAAAUCCAUUAUUACUUUACCAUAUUAAACAUGAGAGUACUCGCUCCUGUCAUUUUUCUCAUUGAGGUCAAAAUAAUUAACUUGCAUGCCAAAACUUUGUUAUAUGUCAGCUGCUUUCGUACGUUAACUUGAAAUAUCACAUGCGUUACUUUAUUCUUAGCAGUAAGAUUCCUAUCCGAAGUGCAAGCAUAGACUAAUAGAAAGCUUAAUAUAUUUGUGAUUAAGAGGAGUUGUACCCCUGGUUGCAUCAAACUUUGUGGCAAAACUUUUCCUUUGUGGUAGGAUCACCUUGGUUCGCUCAGUCCUUACUUCAGUUCCCAUCUAUCUACUGUCCCAUGCCGUGAUACCGGUGACAGUUCUGAGAUCUCUUGAGCAGCUUUUCAGAGAGUUUAUCUGGGGGAGGAGCAGAGGCAGGGGCGGUAUCCAUUUGCUGGCAUGGGAGGUUGUAUGCCAGCAGACCAGAGUUGGUGGCCUGGGGGUGCAGUCCUUGGUGGCGAGGCGAGAGGCUCUUGCGGCGAGGCAUGUUGCUAGAUUUGUGUUGGAGCAGAGUAUGUGGUCCUCUUUGAUGAGGGCCAAGUAUGGAGGGUUGGGACUUGGGGUGCGACCUGGGCAUCACCAUUCUCCGAUCUGGAGGGAGGUGUGUGUCAGGGCUAUGGUGGUGCUACCGGAGAUUAGAUGGGCCAUCGGGGACGGCCGUUCUAUUGAUGUGUUGGAGGAUAGCUGGGUGACCGAGUGGCCGAUCUGUCGUUUGCCGACCUUGGUCGACGCGGCGAGGUUAUCAGGGCGCAGGGUCAGCGAUCUACUGGACUCUGAGGGGGGUUGUUGGAGGAUGGGGUUGAUUCGGGAGGUAUUUGGAGAGCAGUUGGCGGAGCUGGUUCUAUCUUUGCCAGUUCCCACGGGGGGGAGUCUGAUAGAUUAGUGUGGAGGGCGACGGGACGGUCGCGAGUGCGGGUCAGAGAUCUUCUUGCCCUGUUCAGUAGGGAGCCAGGCCGUCAAAUUGCGGGUAGUUGGAUAUGGAGGCUACGGAUUCAUCCCCGAGUGGCACUCUUCAUCUGGAAGGUGGCUUGGGGUUGCCUUCCGACCAGGAGUUUAUUAGCCCGGCGCGGUGUGCGGGUACCUCAGCAUUGCGAGGCUUGUGGUGAUAGUGAGGAGACCAUCGAGCAUGUCCUUCUGCGGUGCCCCAGGGCCUAUGAGAUAUGGCGGAGGUCAUCGGUGCCACUACCUGUCUCGGUGGGAUCAGCACAGGACCUGUUGCAGCUAUUGAGAGAUUCCAUGAGGUGACCUAGGUCUGUUGAGGAUGGGAUUCUUAGGGCAUACCUGUCCUACCAUAUCUGGCUGGACAGGAAUGCUGGUAUUUUCGAAGGGAGGCGGGCGCCUCCGUGGAUGGUGGUAGACAGAGCGGCGCGUCAUGCGAGAGAGAUUAUUGCGACUUCCGUUGUGAUUUCCUCUGGGAUAGACAGGGACACCUGGGGUACUCACGCUAUUUCAGCGCCAUGUUUUGCCCUUGUUUCUUGGGUACCCCCACCCCCUGGUUAUCUCAAAGUAAAUUUCGACGGCAGUAGGUCUGCGGAUGGCGUGACUGGAGGGAUUAGCUUUGUGAUCAGAGACCACUUUGGGAGGAUGAUUGUUGCAAGCGGGCGCCGGACACCUGGGCUCACUGUUGUUGGGGCAGAGCUGCGAGCUGUCUGGGAGGGGUUAUCCUAUGCUAGGCAGGUGCUUGGUGUGGAGCGGGUGUUCCUUGAGGGGGACUCAGUGGUGGUGAUUGACUGGAUCCGGGGGGUGGACAGGUAUGGUGAUGGUCACCCCCUUAUCCAGGAGACACGCAGGAUGGCUCAGAUGUUGGGCGGCUUUCAGGCUUUUCAUGUGUUUAGGGAGGCGAACAGGGCUGCAGAUUGGAUUGCCUCUUAUGUCGCCCGGCACUCCGGGAACUUUUUGUGGACGCUGGACUCAGAUGUCCCUUCUGCUUUGUUGUCUUUACUUUCACGCGAUUUAGAUGGGUGUAUUCAGGUUAGACUUAUAUGAAUGAGUAACCGCUUUUUAACCAAAAAAAAAAAAGAGAGUUCACAAAUCAAAUUGGUUCCAUUCUAGAGUCAGAUUAUUAUACAAAAAGAUCUUUGAUGCCCAGCAUAUAAGCCACGUUUACUGACUAUAGAGGGCUCGUUUGGUUCGCGGGAAGUAUUUUCCCUCCUAGGAAUAUGAUUCCUGGGAAUCAANNNNNNNNNNNNNNNNNNNNUUUCCGUUGACCACACUUUCCCCCUCCUUUUCCUGCGAACCAAACGAGCCCAGAAAGUUGACGAGCCGGGCUGAGCUUUGCGCUCAGCCUCGGGCUGAAACAACUAGUCCUUAUCCCAUUUCUGGUCCUAACCUGAACCAGCCCAAAUAUAGCAGGCUUGACACGAGGCUUCAGUUGAAGAUCUAAUUUGGUGGGCCGGGCUCAACACUCGGCCCAGUUAAAAGUGUUGGAACUUUCUUUAUGUUUUUUUUGGGUAAAUAUGGCAAUUUAAAUUACUGCCAAGUCACCAGAAAGUAAAAAGUAUAAACGAGAUGGAAUGUUUGCUACAGAUACUCAAAUUAAGAAACUUCCCGGAGUGCCGGGCGACAAAAGAGGCGACCUAGUUUACUACCCUAUUCGCCUUCCGAAACACAUGUUCUACCUGAAAAUUCUCCAUCUCCUGAAGCAACCUCCGGGACUCUCGGAUGAGUAGAUAACCAUCGCCAUAUCUGUCCACACUCUGGAUCCAAUCAAUCACCAGCUACAUAAGUAGUAGUCCCCUUCUUCUCCGAACCCUAUGAUAUUAGUCCGCCUCGUUGGCCUACAAACUUAGAUUAAUAGAAAUGUUGAAGAUAUGGCUAAUAAUUUAGUGAUGAAAGAUAUCCAAAUCGUACCUAGUUCACUACAUGUGGAGCUGCCCCUGCCAUAAUAUUAUACUCGUAUGGCCGUAGUCUCGGAUCCACCCUAGCUGCAAGUAGAAGGAACCUUCGCUGCGCCUGGAUUCCCACUCGUUUGUCCUAGCCGUCCCGGACAACCGACAGUCCAAACGCGUUAGAAGCUCGACGGCUGUCCAAACCAGAAGCAAGCCCGGUGUAUUUCUCUCCGCUCGAGCCACGAGUCGGCAGCUAAAACAGCUUGGAUAGAAUCCCGGUCGAUCAAUUCCUCCGGCACGUGUAUGUUGCAGCUGGGUGCACGGAUUGCGUUGCUUUGCACGCCUCGCUAGCUCCCUCGCUCCCUUCUAUUCGGAGCUUCCAUCAUUCUUGGGAAGUUGGUUUCCCCUCCCUCGAGCGACGUAGAGAUCACUCCGCGAAGGUAGCGGAGCAAAAAGAAGUCGAUCGAGCGAUGCGCACAGAGGAAGCUGAUCUCCUUGUUACUGGCUCUACUGCUUCUGCUGCUGCUGCUCUCCUUCUGAUCAGCCUUGGGAACUAAGCUAUUUAAGAGUGAGGCAAAUGGAGUCCCAGGCUACUCUGGCCACCAGAAAUCCUUGUGUAUUGGCCAGCCCAAGGGUGAAGGUGGGGCUGUGCACUGCGAGACUUCCAGGCAGAAUGAGAGGCGCUCGUUUGGUGGCAACUGGUGCAUUUGGGAGACGGAGCGUUUCGGUGGAGAGCAAGCUGAGUUGCGAACUGGGUGAUCACUGGAGGAAGAAUGCGUUGGCGCGCAUCUACGUCUUCGGGGAUUUUGGUGUAACUACAUACGCCAUGCGCGCAUUGAAGAAAGUACGUUCUUAAAUUUGAUUAGAUUCUCUUUUUUCUGAUGAGAUUUAACUUAAAAGUAUAUUUGGAAACAUGAUGCUUAAUUAACAUCGAUCGAGGCUGGGGCCCAAAAUGUUUUUGACUAUGGAGGGGCCCUCCGUUCAUGCCAGAAGCCAUUCGCCUCCUCAAUACGUGCUAACCUUAAAUUUUCAAUGUGAUUCGCCUUUGAGUUCGCAUUAACUUGGCAUUAUUCAUCACGAAAAGUUCAUCUUUUCAGGCAUCUCUGGUGAUGCUUGAUGCUAUAUCUGAGGUUUAAUUUGGUAAGUUCAGCUUUGCAGCAGAAUGCAGCAUGAUUCCCCACCCAAUUCCCAAUCCCGCAUGGCACAAGGGGUAGUGGCCUUUUUCGGGCACAGCACCAAUACUAGUUGCAGGGAAAGAUCUUUCCUUCCACAUCCACACAUCCACACGCAUGUAUCAUUGAUUAUAUAUAUCCUUAAAAUAUUCCCCUCUAUUGUACGUACUACUUCACAGAUCUGUGAUUGGUAAUACUAUAUGAUAUCAUAUUUAUUCCAGUGUUCAUCAAAAAAGAAAAUUAUAGUGAUUGACCUCUUAUUUUGCCUUCAUAAUUCAUAGAUAUUUAUACCUAUCAUUAAGUGGUCAUGUUUAUUUCCCUUUUUCUAGCAAAUAAGUGCUCAUAUUUUCAUCGUCAGUCUUAAUGUCUCCGUUAGUGUAUAUGAUUAUCUUUAGAUGCAUUAAUUAUUUGCAGAAGUUUUCCAGCAUUGAAGGUUUUAUAGGUGAAGAUCACGAAGAUGGGGAUGGCGAGGAAGAAGAGGGUACGGGCGGAGGUGGUAGGGGUAGUGAUGAUGACGAUGAGGAGGAUACUACUGAUAAUGAUGAAGAUGAUGAGGAGGACACUACUGAUGAGGAAGAUACUACGGAAGAUGAAGAUGAAGAUGAGGAUGAGGAUGAAGAUGAUCAAGAAGAUGAGGGAGAGUGUGAUGAUUAGACAAAUACAAUGGCAGAUAGUUGUAGUUUUUGAGGAUUUUAUGGCAUGCUGGUUUAUCAGCCUUUCUUUUUUUAAUUGUUUUUUCUUCUCUUAUGGUCUAGGGCCAUAGUGGAAAAAAUUGGGACAUGCUGGGAUCAAUUCAACAUCUUAAUCUGAUGAUUUGAAAUUGAACCACAAUCUAACCAUCAAGUUAUCGAUUUACUACAUUGAACUUUUCAGUAUAUAUUAGACAUACACAUGCAUGCAUGCAUGUAUACAUAUAUGAAUAGGUAUAUAUCCAGUUGGAAGAAUCUGACAUAAGUUCCAGUUGGAAAUGCUAAAAAAUUUUUAGAAAAAUAUCAGAGAAAUGCAAUGGAAAAGUUCACAGGCGAUUGUAGCCUGGCCUCAAACUCCCAAUUUUUUUGGGGGGGAUGGAACAAUGGCCUGAAAGUAACCUGAGGAUGUCAAUCUAUUGGAUUUAUUCACGACCAUACACCAAGGAAAAAACAAAUAGUCAGAACCAAAGGCAAUCAAAAGAGAAUGGAUGGACAUUGCAAAGCAAAUUCCCAUCAAGCUUGUCAAAUUGGCUGUGAAAUUUGCCAUUGGUGCUGCCGGCCACGUUACGAUUCCCUUGCACUCUGUCCUAUGAUCUCACUCCUAAAAAGCAAAGGCAAUUAGGAAGACAACUUGACCUCCAACGAACGAAUCAAAUCAAACACGACAAAGCGAUAGAUUACAGGGCUUUUGUGGAUGCAGCUUUGUUAGAUUGUAAUGUUGUUUUUGUUGCUUGCCUUCCUCAAUGUACCCCAAGAAAAAAACCAUGACAUAUCACAAGAUAUAGAUUACACUCACUUCAUUCUGAAAGCCAAAGACUCCUCGCAAGAUCACUGACAGACCUCCACAUUCCCCUCCACAGCAUGUACACUCUCCACGCCAACACCUCCACAUUCCCCUUGACCUUUUGCUAAUAAGCGUGGAAUUACCCUCGUUUUUUUUUUUCUCAAUCACACAGUUAUAAUUGCACACUAAUCACCAUUCACAAAGUCACACGAACCAGAGAGUAAGUAGUAGUAGGCAUGGCCACAACAUCGGCCUCCGGGUCUAGCGGCGGAAGCUUCUGGGCGUGCGUGGUGUCGCCCCGUCCUCGUCUGUGAGCUUCACGAUGGUGUAGGUCGCAGCCCCGGCGAUGGCCCCCGCCGUGGGUGCCACCAAAUAUAUCCAUAUCUGCUUGUAGUUCCCGGCUGCCAACGCCGGCCCGAUCGUCCUCACCGGGUUCAUCGAUCCACCGCUCGACGGCCUGCCCAAACCAAAUAAUUGUCUCAUACAAAGAUAUCGUUGCAGAACUUCAUUUAUGGAACCAAAAUUUUUUGGUGCAUGCACGUACGUAGGUUCCGAGUUGUUUUUGGCUUUUCAAAGUGCUUACCCGGCCACAAGGAUGUUGAGCAUAACCGUAGCCCCAACUGCUAUUCCAGCCAAUUCUCCCACCUAAUAAGUAAAUCAAAAAGAGAGAUUAGAGGAAGCGGAAGGGAAGCAGAGGGAGAGAGAGAGAGAGAGUAGAAAAAUGGAAGGACUGGGAGAAGCUGCUGUUGGAGAAAUUGGAUUACCGCUCGAGUAUCUGUUGCAACGGCAGUGACGACGAACAAGAGAUUGAAGGUGAUGCAAAACUCAAGGAAGAACGCCUGGGAAGUGCCGACGGAAGGGACUGUGACGCCGCCGGAGAGGAAGGGAUGGAAGAUGCCUUUGAGUGCGAAGGAGGCACAAAUGGACGCCGAGACUUGGGCCGCUAUGUAUGCGGGGACUUGGACCCAGGGGAAGUGGCGGAGGCAUGCGAAGGCGAUGGUGAGGGAGGGGUUGAGGUGGGCGCCGGAGAUGUGGCCGGUGGAGAGGAUCAUAAUCAUGACUGCGAGGCCGGCGCACGCAGCGUUGCCGAUGAGAGUCUCGGCUCCAUUGUACUUCUGGUUCACGAUGGGAGCCGCGGUGGCACCAAAUAUCAGAAUGAAGGUGCCCACGAACUCUGCUCCAAGCUGCCAUUGCCAUGAAAUACGUUCACCAAGGUUAGCAGACUCGAAGAAAUGGACGCUUCUAUAAUUCAAUCAUCCCCGUAGCUGUAAUAUUGGAAAAAGGGUUUUGAAGGUAGCCUUAUAUAAUUUUCUUCUAUCCAACAAUCCCUUUACAUAAAUUGUUGAUAAUAAAACUAGAGGCCAGCCUAAUAAAUCAUCUUAUUCAAAUAAUUGAAAAGAGCUUCCCCUCAUAUGGAGGAGAGGGGUACAAUUUUAUAAUUUGAAAUAUAUAAAGAAAUAGAAUAGAGUUUUGAACGGUUCAUUUUUUUCCUAGGAAGAAAUGUUAUUUUGGAGUUAAGCACAGGUUGGUUCAACCAACAAAGCUCGUGUGACUUUGGGAAACUUUGCUUCGCCUAUGGGAAGCAGGCCAUGGUCCACAUGAGAAUAAUUGAAGAGGUCCUUGACAAUAUGAUGCCUGCACCCUAGCCAUGAUACCUGCACCCUAGCCAAUGGCCAAAAAUGAUUUUUCGUCAAUCAAAAUGAUCCUCAACAAGCUCUCUGAUCUGAUUCGAAGCUUGUAGAGCCAUUUAUUGGGUGUUUGAAUACAAAUUUGUUUAGAUUAAAUGAAACCCCAACUAAGGUUUAAAUUUUAGAAUAAUAAUCCAGAAUCUUAUCUUAAAAAAAGCAGCUAAACGGUACUAUAUGAACUUUUUGAGCCUGUAUAAGUACUCGGGACCUACCUAUUGUAUAGUCGAUGCAGCACUAAACACAUGCCUACAUAAGUCCUCCUAUACUCUCUCUCUAUAUGGAGUAAUACAACUCGUAAAGGGUUCACUAAAGCUAUUGUUCUAGACAUGCUUGUAUACAUAAUUCCAACCGAACAAAAUGCUUCUCAGUGCCCACUAUUUCCCCCUUGAAACGUGGCCCGUACAAGUCUGCGAAGAGGCCAGAGCACCGCUCCUUUACCUUAAGAAAAAGAGCAUCACUCCUUAAAACCACUGUUUCAAGCCAAUACUUGCCCCUUCGAUGAACGAUCCCUGGUGUGGUUAUUGUUGAUUGGACCAGAUGUCAUGUUCCUCAGAUUAUAGCUUAGAGAAAUCUCUUCCAACUUUUGUCAGAAAAGACAUACAUGUCAACCUGAAACUGUUCUGUAGGAUCCUUUUUACUAGAGAAAUCUGAUCACCAUUUCAAAUAGCAAAAGGCGAGUCCUUCAGUUGGAAAAGCAAUUAUGUCUCCAAAUUUCAAUCUAGAAUUUUAUCUGUUCCUCUCUCGAACCAACCAUAUAGAAGAGAUGAAUCAUUUAUUGUGAACAGACAAGUAAGGAAAGUGUUUUCAAAAAAGAGAAAAACGAAAAGAGAAGGGAACUAUGAAAUUUAACAGGUAAUGACAACUAAUUUAUAAGAUUAGAGCAAAUAGCUUCCUUGAUCGACAGAAAGUUAAUGGCUUGGAGAAAUUAUAAGCAUCUUUUGAAUUAUUGUGAGGUGUGGAGCUGACAUCAUGGAUGGGCUUCAAAUAAAUAAAAAUCCGAAAGACAGAGAGGGAAAUAAAGAAGGAUGGAUGGAUUGAUUAGUUGGGGAACAGCAUCGUGCACCGAAGCGGGCGAAACCAAACCUUGUUUAAUAACUUAAAGCCAUGGCAAGUGAUGACCAAUUCCUACCUGUUUAGCCAAUCAGUCCUACUUGGAUGUUAAGCCUUCAGCUCUACUUAAAGCCUACCUCAUCAUGCGCUUACGAGGGAAAUGUUAUAGAUGCUCUCUUGAUCCAACGGCAUGACUUGAGCCCAUACCAUGCAUGGGAUUUAGAAAGAAAGGCCAAAAUUGACGAUCAUGAACAUGCACCAAAUUAAAUGUCGAAGUGCUUCCACUGCACUUUGAUAACUUUUGAGCCAAUGAUAUCGAAGUGCUUCCACUGCACUUUGAUGGCACUCGGUUUAUUUAGAGAUUCAUGCGUCACAUGCAAGCUGCAGGCUUCACAUAUCAUACACUAAUUUUAAGAUGUGCUACUAAGGUAUAUAAAACGAUGUGUAGGCUGAGAUGUGAGGAAGGAAGGCCGGGUAAUAUUUUGACAACACAUGCAUAUAUACCUUGCGGGCGAGGGAGACGUCGGGCUUGGGGAUCUCGGUGAAGCACGCGGCAGGAGAAGCCCAGGAGUUGGAGUUCACCGGCAAGCACCUGUUGCACCGCGGCAUCGAGUUCCUAUCGUAUGACAGCGAGUCGACACGGAGCGACGAGAAGAGCGGCGCCCCCGGCGUGCCCGGCGUCGGUGGGGCCGACACGUUCGGUGUUCCGUUCUCGGUCUCCGGCAUUAUCAAAAGCUACACCAAAUGACUCUUUUUUUCUUUUCUUAUUUUUUUUUUUUGUGAAGGGGAUGUGCUAAGAAGGGAAACUACUGCAUGAUUUGGUGUUUUUUUAUGAAGGUAUGGCUAUAAGAAUGGUAGAAUUGUUGCCAGGAUCGAUAAUAAUAUAAGCGGACUCCUUUUCAAACAUACAUAAGAAACAAAAGCUAAAAGGCUCUCCUCUAGGUGUGUUGAUGGAAGAAAGGAGGCAAAAAUUACAUGAUCUGAAGUUUUUUAUGAAUGAGUGUCUGAAGAAAUAAAGAGAGAGAAGAGAGCCAGCCAAACAAAGAGUACUACAAAUGAGAGUUGCUUGUUUUACGGAUAACAGUUUUGGUGAAGAAUGAGAAUUUCUCAAGAAUGAGAGGAAAGAUAUCUAAGUUUCGCAAAGCCAAAAUCUCGAUAUGGGAGAAUUUAAAAGAACAAAUGUUUGCAGAAAAGGACACUCAAAUCUGACAUAGAUCAAAGAUUCAAAAUAAAGCUUUGCAUUCAGGUGCUCUUGUGUCCUGCAGUAGAAAUUGGGAAAGAGAAAGUGUUUGUGCGCGCGCGAGAGAGAGAUAGGUUGAGAAUUUUGGAGGAGAAAGAAUGUGAAUAUAAGGGGUUGGUAUGGGGUGGGGUGGGGGAAGGAAAGGUCUUGCCACUGAGAUGGUAGCUCAGUGGAACUGGGGCUUACUUUCAACUAAGUGGUUCCAAGUUCGAAAUACACGGACGUCGAUUAAAUUGUGGAGAUCGGAUGCUCCUUGCUUGAACACGGAGUUUGAAAGGACUUAUUGGUCCAUUGGUAGCCUUAGUAGUUCUAGGUGUGACGUACUCAUAUGGGGAUUCGCCUAUGGGUGGGAAGGAUAUGAGUAAAACCGCCCAGAGUGCCCAACAUACGGUCAUUUCUGCCCGCAUCGAACAUUCUCCUGGCGGGAUGGGGGCCCAGUGGAGGCUGCUACGCGGAAAUGGACUUGUCCCUUUCUCUCCUCUUCUCCUUUUUUUAGUAAAAAAAAAAGAAAAAAAAAAAGAAGGGUUGGUCUCGGUGCCCGUCAUUAUCUAAUACUCUGCAGGUUGAUGGAUUUUGCUAGUCACUAGAUUACUCAUUGUUACAUCUGAUCAGAGUGUCAAAUCAUACUCCUCUAUUGGGUUUUUCCCUGCGAAGCAUGUUGGGGAUGCCACCAUCCGGGUUCAAACCUUGGACCUCUCGGAUGUAAAGAGGGAUGCUAAAGUUGUAAUGAGGUGAGUGUGGUUGUGGUGGCUACCGGGGAGAGUCCGUGUGUGUGAUAAUAUUCAUCAGUGCCAUUAAUAAUUAAAAAAAUUGUUGCACUUCAAUGAAUAUAACCGGCCAGGAGGAUACUGAAAGCUCUCAGUACAAUGCUAGUCUAACUGCUUAACGUACAACUCGGUAUAUUUUUUCUCAUGCUCCCAUUUUCUUAAUCAUUGAUGACCUAAUGUAGAUAGCAUUAAUAAAUUAUAUAAUUGGUAUCCCAUUUUUCGACUUGUAAGAGUCCAUGCCAAGCCUAAUAUUAAAGUGGCAGGUUACUCGAUCAGUGUCUAUUCUUCAUAUGUAUCAAUUGGAUGGUACUUGAAGAAAGGAAGGGGGGGGNNNNNNNNNNNNNNNNNNNNNNNNNNNNNNNNNNNNNNNNNNNNNNNNNNNNNNNNNNNNNNNNNNNNNNNNGGGGGCUUCCCACAAAUCAAGUCGCUACCACGACUUGCUAUGACCUUCUUUGAUGACACAACGACGUCUCGGGCCUAGGCUCGGAGCGCCCUGCAGUGCUGACCAAGAGUCGAAGAGGCUCCGUCGGCCGCAGGAAUCUACGAUGACGUGCCUCCGAUCUGAGUGGGGGUGCCGACCAAGAGCCGAAAAAGCCCCGUCGACCACGGGCAUCCAUAAUGAUGCCCCAACCCGAGCUCAGGGCGCCCCACCGAGCAAAUCACAGAAUCGAGAAGGCUGGGCUGACCUCAGAGUCUGCUGAGCCGACCUCACCAAACAUUUGUUGCGGCCCUCAAGUCGGCCCAACCUCAGCAUUUGCCAAGCUGACUUUAUCAAGUAUAUGUUGCGACCUCCAGGCAAGCCCGACCUCGCCUCCGGCCGCAUCCACGCGCGCGCCUAUGCUCGCAUACAUGGCCGUACAUUGCAACCUCACCGUCCUAUGUUUUACUUGCUGGCCACUCCACGACAUGUCAACCAAGGGCCAUAUCCUGCCAUUGAGGACCAUACCCUUAGAGCCAUACCCUGCCACCUCUGUCAAUGCCAUGCCGUUCACAGGAAUGGCCUACACCAUGUGCUUGUGAACGGCCUACACCAUGUGCCCCGAGCAAGCUCUGACUGCACGCCACCUGGCCAAAUCUAUCUCCUUCCAUGAUAAGGAUAGGACAUACAUUGUCACCUGGGCACCUUAACCGGGACUAUAUAUAGCCCGCAUCAGGUAACGCCUAAAGACUUUUGGACUUGCUAGCAUCCACUCUAACUCAAGCAUCGGAGGGCUCUUACUGGAUUCCACCGGUGAGGCUUGAUGCAGGUAUGCUAGCAUACGGAAGGCGCCAUCCUUUUUUCCAUCUCGAUCGGUAGCUCCUCCGACUCCUCCGACGUGGUCACUCUUGGGCAAAAUUUGAACCACAACAGUACUUGUUUAUUAGUAGGGGCACAAAUCAAGUCCACCUCACUAACUGUUAUUUAUUUUUCUCCUGUCUUUUUAUUGUACAUGCCAUCUUUGCUUUCUUUAACUCUCAUACGUACACUUCUCUUAUAUAUUCAAUAAAUUGGGUGGCUCAGCAUUGCCUUACCCUUAAAAAAAAAAAAAAAAAAAUCAAGUUCACCCUCCCCUCUCUC
rnacentral:lncRNA from 1 species